GGAUUCGUCCGCCCAAAGGAUGGGUCUGCGGCCUAUCAGGUAGUAGUGGGGUGUAUGUACCUACUAGCCUACGACGGGUACGGGUUGUGAGAGCAAGAGCCCGGAGAUGGAUUCUGAGACACGAACCCAGGCCCUACGGGGUGCAGCAGGCGCGAAAACUUUACAAUGCUGGCAACAGCGAUAAGGGAACCUCGAGUGCCAGGUUACAAAUCUGGCUGUCGAGAUGCCUAAAAAGCAUUUCAUAGCAAGGGCCGGGCAAGACCGGUGCCAGCCGCCGCGGUAACACCGGCGGCUCGAGUGGUGACCGUUAUUAUUGGGUCUAAAGGGUCCGUAGCCGGUUUGGUCAGUCCUCCGGGAAAUCUGAUAGCUUAACUGUUAGGCUUUCGGGGGAUACUGCCAGGCUUGGAACCGGGAGAGGUAAGAGGUACUACAGGGGUAGGAGUGAAAUCUUGUAAUCCCUGUGAGACCACCUGUGGCGAAGGCGUCUUACCAGAACGGGUCCGACGGUGAGGGACGAAAGCUGGGGGCACGAACCGGAUUAGAUACCCGGGUAGUCCCAGCCGUAAACUAUGCUCGCUAGGUGUCAGGCAUGGCGCGACCGUGUCUGGUGCCGCAGGGAAGCCGUGAAGCGACCCUCCUNGAAGUACGGCCGCAAGGCUGAAACUUAAAGGAAUGGCGGGGAGCACA
rnacentral:rRNA from 1 species